GGGGCAGCCCGUGAGGGGAAAUGGCGGGGAGGGAGCGGAGCAGGCCGGGAAGCGGAGGAACAGGCAGAGUUUAUGAAUGAAGGUCCUCUGUCCUGCCUUCUUCCUUCAGAGCUGCACCAGCAGUGAUCUCAAGAGGGAGGAAACACUGUUAAAACCUUGUUGAAGCACCAGGAUGACCCAUCUGUUUCAUGUGUCUUUACAAAUACAGAAAUUACUCAUAAUACUAGAAAAUCCUCAAUCCUGUGGUAAUGAAAUCAGCUCAAUCUGAACUCAGCUUAUAGAAAAAAACAGCAAUAUUUACAAAGGGAAUAAAUCAGAUUAAUAAAAGGCAAAAGAGAUUUGGAGACCCCGUAUUGAUUGCCCUUCAAGGAACAUAGCAGCGUGUGGCAGCAGUGCCGACCGUGAUCCAGGGAGGCCGCCAGCAGCAGCAGGGAAAACAGAUCAGACAAGUCUCUGUUGUUUAGUAGGGGAGUCUGUUUUAUUCCACCCCGUGCCAGGGGGAGCAGAGGGGCAGAGGCCCGGGAGCUUGAGCAAAGCUUAGAGAGCCCAGAGCUGAGGGCAAGAGAGAGAAGUUCCCGUUACAAUACAAUAAAUCUUCUUCUGUGCUAAAUAUUCUAAUUUUCACUAACCA